rnacentral:rRNA from 1 species
AUUGAACGCUGGCGGCAGGCCUAACACAUGCAAGUCGAACGAGUGGCGGACGGGUGAGUAAUGUCUGUGAAACUGCCUGUUGGAGGGGGAUAACUACUGGAACCGUUAGCUAAUACCGCAUACCAUCAGCUUUGUCCAGAGGUGCUUAGCUAGUUGGUGGGGUAACGGCUCACCAAGUCGACGAUCCCUAGCUGGUCUGAGAGGAGGACCAGCCAAACGGGAACUGAGACACGGUCCAGACUCCGACGGGAGGCAGCAGGGGGGAAUAUUGCACAAUGGGCGAAAGCCUGAUGCAGCCAGGCCGCGGGUAUGAAGAAGGCCUUCGGGUUGUAAAGUACGUUCAGCGGGGAGGCGUUAACCGAAGAAGAAGCACCGGCUAACUCCGUGCCAGCAGCCGCGGUAAUAC